rnacentral:lncRNA from 1 species
GGCGAGGCGAGGCCUGCGGAGCGGAGGAAGACAAACAUAAAGAUGAAGUGCUUAAUUCAAGGUCACACAAUGUCGGGGAUGGACCUCCAGAUUUCCUUACUGACCUGCAUUAUCUUGUGGAUACCUGAGUGAAUUCCACACCACCCAUUUUAUAGAUGAAACCACUGAGACAUGGAGCAAUUGACUGAGUAGUCACUGCCCCACCCCUGCCUGGAGCCUCACACAUGACUCGCCUCCUCUC